UGUGCGGCAGCGGCUCUGCGGAGGCUGUCAGCACAGGAAGCAGAGAGAAGAGGAGAGAACAGGAGCUGCGGGGGAACAAGGCAGAGAUUCGGUGAAGAUGAGUUGUGAUCAGGAGACGUCUUCAUGAUGACCCAGGACAGAUGGAGAAGAAAGAGAAAAAUCAACGACUCCGAUCAGAGAAGACGUCCCUUGACAGAGGAGAGCGCACGGCUAUCAACACCUAUCCAUGGCGAAUAAUUUUUGUCUAAGGUGUAUAUUUCUAUGCCUCUAAUCUUUUUAGUAUUUCAUGUUUUGAUCGGAGCCCUAUAUGAGCAUCUACACACGUGUUGUAAAUCACUUUACUGGCACUUUUAAUAAACCA